GGUUAAGUGACUAAGCGUACAGGGCGGAUGCCUUGGCAAUCAGAGGCGAAGAAGGACGUGCUAAUCUGCGAAAAGCUUGGAUGAGUCGAUAAGAGGCGUUUAAUCCAAGAUGUCCGAAUGGGGAAACCCGAUGGAUGAAGAAUCCAUCAUUUCAUUGUGAAUACAUAGCAAUGAAAGGCGAACCGGGAGAACUGAAACAUCUAAGUACCCCGAGGAAAAGAAAUCAACCGAGAUUCUGUGAGUAGCGGCGAGCGAAAGCGGAAGAGCCAGUAAGUUUUAGCUAGUGUAUUAGAGGAAUUGGCUGGGAAGCCAAAUCAAAGAGGGUGAUAAUCCCGUACUCGAAAAUACGAUAGUGGAACUAAGCUUACGAUAAGUAGGGCGGGACACGAGAAAUCCUGUUUGAAGAUGGGGGGACCAUCCUCCAAGGCUAAAUACUCCUGAUUGACCGAUAGUGAACCAGUACUGUGAAGGAAAGGCGAAAAGAACCCCGGUGAGGGGAGUGAAAUAGAACCUGAAACCCUGUACGUACAAGCAGUAGGAGCGAGGGCAACCUUGUGACUGCGUACCUUUUGUAUAAUGGGUCAGCGACUUAUAUUUUGUAGCGAGGUUAACUGAAUAAGGGAGCCGAAGGGAAACCGAGUCUUAACUGGGCGUUGAGUUGCAAGGUAUAGACCCGAAACCCGGUGAUCUAGCCAUGGGCAGGUUGAAGGUUGGGUAACACUAACUGGAGGACCGAACCGACUAAUGUUGAAAAAUUAGCGGAUGACUUGUGGCUGGGGGUGAAAGGCCAAUCAAACCGGGAGAUAGCUGGUUCUCCCCGAAAUCUAUUUAGGUAGAGCCUUGAGCGGACACCUUCGGGGGUAGAGCACUGUUUCGGCUAGGGGUCCAUCCCGGAUUACCAACCCGAUGCAAACUGCGAAUACCGAAGAGUGAUACUCAGGAGACACACGGCGGGUGCUAACGUUCGUCGUGGAGAGGGAAACAACCCAGACCGCCAGCUAAGGUCCCAAAGUCUAUAUUAAGUGGGAAACGAAGUGGGAAGGCUUAGACAGCUAGGAUGUUGGCUUAGAAGCAGCCAUCAUUUAAAGAAAGCGUAAUAGCUCACUAGUCGAGUCGGCCUGCGCGGAAGAUGUAACGGGGCUCAAAUAUAGCACCGAAGCUGCGGCAUCAGGCGUAUCACUAAUACGCCUUACGAUUAACAACAUCGCAUGAAACGAAGUGAAAUGGGAUGUUGGUCAAGCGUUCCAAACGUUGAGGCGGUUGGAGGGUAAUCGAAGAGAGGAUUAUUAGUGAUACGUCUGUUGGGUAGGGGAGCGUUGUGUAAGCGGAAGAAGGUGGCUCGAGAGGGUUGCUGGACGUAUCACAAGUGCGAAUGCUGACAUAAGUAACGAUAAAACGAGUGAAAAACUCGUUCGCCGGAAGACCAAGGGUUCCUGUCCAACGUUAAUCGGGGCAGGGUGAGUCGGCCCCUAAGGCGAGGCUGAAAAGCGUAGUCGAUGGGAAACGGGUUAAUAUUCCCGUACUUGGUAAAGCUGCGAUGUGGGGACGGAGAAGGUUAGGUAAGCGGACUGUUGGAAAUGUCCGUUUAAGUUGGUAGUUGGGAGCGGUAGGCAAAUCCGCUGCUCCAUUCA
rnacentral:rRNA from 1 species